UACAGAGGUCCCGAGCGUUUGUUCGGAUUCACUGGGCGUAAAGGGUGCGUAGGUGGCGAGGUAAGUCGGAUGUGAAAGCUCGGAGCUCAACUCCGAAAUGGCAUUGGAAACUACCUUGCUCGAGGGUUGGAGGGGGGACUGGAAUGCUUGGUGUAGCGGUGAAAUGCGUAGAUAUCAGGAGGAACACCGGUGGCGAAGGCAGCACUCUGGGACGUGACUGACGCUGAGACGCGAAAAGCGUGGGGAGCAAACAGG
rnacentral:rRNA from 1 species